UGACAGAGCCAACGAGUUCAUCUCCUUGCCCGAAAGGGUUGGGUAAUCUUGUUAAACUCUGUCGUGCUGGGGAUAGAGCAUUGCAAUUAUUGCUCUUCAACGAGGAAUUCCUAGUAAGCGCAAGUCAUCAGCUUGCGUUGAUUACGUCCCCGCCCUUUGUACACACCGCCCGUCGCUACUACCGAUUGAAUGGCUCAGUGAGGCUUUCGGACUGGCCUAAGGAGAGUGGCAACACUCACCUAGGGCCGGAAAGUUAUCCAAACUUGGUCAUUUAGAGGAAGUAAAAGUCGUAACAAGGUUUCCGUUGGUGAACCAGCGGAAGGAUCAUUACAGAGAUAUGCCCUCACGGGUAGACCUCCCACCCUGUAUAAUUUACUCUUGUUGCUUUGGCAGGCCGCCUUCGGGCUCCCGGCUUCGGCUGGGGAGCGCCUGCCAGAGGACCCCAACUCUUGUGUUUAGUGUCGUCUGAGUACUAUAAAAUAAGUUAAAACUUUCAACAACGGAUCUCUUGGUUCUGGCAUCGAUGAAGAACGCAGCGAAAUGCGAUAAGUAAUGUGAAUUGCAGAAUUCAGUGAAUCAUCGAAUCUUUGAACGCACAUUGCGCCCCUUGGUAUUCCGGGGGGCAUGCCUGUUCGAGCGUCAUUUCAACCCUCAAGCCUAGCUUGGUCUUGGGCUCUGCCGGGAACGGCUGGCCUUAAAAUCAGUGGCGGUGCCAUCGAGCUCUACGCGUAGUAAUUAAACCCUCGCGUGUGAGUCCCGGUGAGUGCUUGCCAGCAACCCCCAAUUUCUAUGGUUGACCUCGGAUCAGG
rnacentral:rRNA from 1 species